rnacentral:rRNA from 1 species
UUUCUGCGACGCAGCUAACGCAUUAAGCGCCCCGCCUGGGGAGUACGAUCGCUAGAUUAAAACUCAAAGGAAUUGACGGGGCCCCGCACAAGCAGCGGAGCAUGCGGCUUAAUUCGACGCAACGCGAAGAACCUUACCAAGGCUUGACAUAUACAGGAAUACGGCAGAGAUGUCGUAGCCGCAAGGUCUGUAUACAGGUGGUGCAUGGUUGUCGUCAGCUCGUGUCGUGAGAUGUUGGGUUAAGUCCCGCAACGAGCGCAACCCUCGUUCUGUGUUGCCAGCAUUUAGUUGGGGACUCACAGGAGACUGCCGGGGUUAUCUCGGAGGAAGGUGGGGAUGACGUCAAAUCAUCAUGCCCCUUAUGUCUUGGGCUGCACGCAUGCUAUAAUGGCUGGUACAAACGGCUGCAAAUACCGCAAGGUGGAGCGAAUCCGAGAAAGCCAGUCUCAGUUCGGAUUGGGGUCUGCAACUCGACCCCAUGAAGUCGGAGUUGUCUAGUAUCGUAGAUCAGCAACGCUAGCGGUGUAUACGUUCCCGGGGCUUGUACACACCGCCCGUCACAUCACGAAA